UACAUGUGGGGCAAGCGUUGUUCGGAAUUACUGGGCAUAAAGGGUGCGUAGGCGGUCUGUUAAGACCGAUGUGAAAUCCCCGGGCUUAACCUGGGAACUGCAUUGGUGACUGGCAGGCUUUGAGUGUGGCAGAGGGAGGUAGAAUUCCACGUGUAGCAGUGAAAUGCGUAGAGAUGUGGAGGAAUACCGAUGGCGAAGGCAGCCUCCUGGGCCAACACUGACGCUCAUGCACGAAAGCGUGGGGAGCAAACAGG
rnacentral:rRNA from 1 species